UGCUUAACACAUGCAAGUCGAACGAGAAAAGGAUUGCUUGCAAUCCUGAGUAGAGUGGCGCACGGGUGAGUAACACGUAGAUAAUCUGCCUUCAAACCUGGAAUAACUAUUCGAAAGGGUAGCUAAUACCGGAUAAAGUCAAUUUACAUAAGUAUAUUGAUGAAAGAUUGCCUCUUCUUGAAAGCAAUUGUUUGGGGAUGAGUCUGCGGACCAUUAGCUUGUUGGUGGGGUAACGGCCUACCAAGGCAGCGAUGGUUAGCUGGUCUGAGAGGAUGAUCAGCCACACUGGAACUGGAACACGGUCCAGACUCCUACGGGAGGCAGCAGUGAGGAAUUUUGCGCAAUGGGGGCAACCCUGACGCAGCAACGCCGCGUGAGUGAAGAAGGCCUUUGGGUCGUAAAGCUCUGUCAACUGGGAAGAAAUUAGUUUCUAUUAAUAGUAGUUGCUAUUGACGGUACCAGUGGAGGAAGCGCCGGCUAACUCCGUGCCAGCAGCCGCGGUAACACGGGGGGCGCAAGCGUUAUUCGGAAUUAUUGGGCGUAAAGGGCGCGCAGGCGGUCUUGUCCGUCAGGUGUGAAAGCUCGGGGCUCAACCCCGGAAGUGCACUUGAAACAGCAAGACUUGAAUACGGGAGAGGAGAGAGGAAUUCCUGGUGUAGAGGUGAAAUUCGUAGAUAUCAGGAGGAACCCCGAUGGCGAAGGCGUCUCUCUGGACCGAUAUUGACGCUGAGGCGCGAAGGCGUGGGUAGCGAACGGGAUUAGAUACCCCGGUAGUCCACGCAGUAAACGUUGUACACUCGGUGUGGCGGAUAUUUAAAUCUGCUGUGCCUA
rnacentral:rRNA from 1 species